AAAGAACACAUCUUAUAUGUAGGAUUAUUCCAUAUAUUCUUAGACAUUUUUAAAUAAAUGUUUCUAGGAAUUAAAAUAUAAGAAAUUAGGUUACAAUGUUAUUUAUUUUAAUAUUUGUUUUUUCAGGUGGCUUAACAGAAUUAAUAUGCUGACAGCAGGAUAUGCAGAAAGAGAGAGGAUUAAGCAGGAACAAGAUUACUGGAGUGAGAGUGACAAGGAAGAAGCAGAUACUCCAUCAACACCAAAACAGGAUAGCCCCCCACCCCCAUAUGAUACAUACCCACGACCUCCCUCGAUGAGUUGCGCCAGUCCUUAUGUGGAAGCAAAACAUAGCCGACUUUCCUCCACGGAGACUUCUCAGUCUCAGUCUUCUCAUGAGGAGUUUCGCCAGGAAGUAACUGGAAGCAGUGCAGUGUCUCCCAUUCGCAAGACAGCCAGUCAGCGCCGCUCCUGGCAGGAUUUAAUUGAGACGCCACUGACAAGUUCAGGCUUACACUAUCUUCAGACUCUGCCCCUGGAGGAUUCUGUCUUCUCUGACUCUGCAGCCAUCUCCCCAGAGCACAGACGGCAGUCUACCCUGCCAACUCAGAAAUGCCACCUGCAGGAUCACUAUGGGCCGUACCCCUUAGCUGAGAGUGAGAGGAUGCAAGUGCUAAAUGGAAAUGGGGGCAAGCCUCGAAGUUUUACUCUGCCUCGAGAUAGCGGGUUCAACCAUUGCUGUCUGAAUGCUCCAGUUAGUGCCUGUGACCCACAGGAUGACGUGCAACCCCCAGAGGUGGAGGAAGAGGAGGAGGAGGAGGAGGAGGAAGGGGAGGCAGCAGGGGAAAACAUAGGAGAAAAAAGUGAAAGUAGAGAAGAAAAGUUAGGAGACUCAUUGCAAGAUUUAUACAGGGCACUGGAGCAGGCCAGUCUGUCACCACUAGGAGAACAUCGUAUUUCAACCAAGAUGGAAUACAAGCUAUCAUUUAUAAAAGAUGUAAUGAUCCUGUAAUGAAUGAAAACUACACAGGCUGAGAAUUCUCAAAAGCACUUUAAAGGCCAGAGAAGGGGAAGUAGCCAUUAUCGAUAAAGUCCUAGACAAUCCAGAUUUGACAUCUAAAGAAUUCCAACAAUGGAAGCAGAUGUACCUCGACCUUUUCUUGGAUAUCUGUCAAAAUACCACCUCAAAUGACCCACUGAGUAUUUCUUCUGAAGUAGAUGUAAUCACUUCCUCUCUAACACACACUCAUUCAUACAUUGAAACGCAUGUCUAAAUGUAUUCUGCCUUCAGGCCAUCUAGUACCUGCUGGUACUCUGAACACAUAUAUAAGGUAGUUUUUUAUAUCAAUGUGUGGAACACUUGACAAGCUAUACUUUAAUGUUACCAAACUAUAUGAAACAAACCAUAUAUGGUCACAAUACCACUAUCUUUAAUGAGCAUUUGUAUAUUUUAUAUGCAAUCAGUGCUCAGCUUAUGUUUACCAUGUGCAAAAUCAACUGUCUUUAAUGACUUAAAAUUAACUUUUGCAAACAAUUCUAAAUACAGGUGGUCUUCAAGUAGUAAAACCACAAAAGGCAGUUUUCUAUCUAUGGUCAUCUUUUCUCCCUUUAAGUUAAUUUUAUAUAAACAAGACUUCAAAAGUAAAUCACAUUUUUUCACGGUGCAGACAUCUUGUGGGGUGGAAGAAUUACCUUUUUUAUAUUUAUUAAAUGUUCUAAUUUUCUUAAACAUU
ensembl:lincRNA